AUUGAACGCUGGCGGCAGGCUUAACACAUGCAAGUCGAGCGGGGGAAGGUAGCUUGCUACUGGACCUAGCGGCGGACGGGUGAGUAAUGCUUAGGAAUCUGCAUAUUAGUGGGGGACAACAUCUCGAAAGGGAUGCUAAUACCGCAUACGUCCUACGGGAGAAAGCAGGGGAUCUUCGGACCUUGCGCUAACAGAUAAGCUUAAGUCGGAUGAGCUAGUUGGUGGGGUAAAGGCCUACCAAGGCGACGAUCUGUAGCGGGUCUGAGAGGAUGAUCCGCCACACUGGGACUGAGACACGGCCCAGACUCCUACGGGAGGCAGCAGUGGGGAAUAUUGGACAAUGGGGGGAACCCUGAUCCAGCCAUGCCGCGUGUGUGAAGAAGGCCUUAUGGUUGUAAAGCACUUUAAGCGAGGAGGAGGCUACUCUAGUUAAUACCUAGGGAUAGUGGACGUUACUCGCAGAAUAAGCACCGGCUAACUCUGUGCCAGCCGCCGCGGUAA
rnacentral:rRNA from 1 species